GUUGCUAUUUUAAUGACUGUUUGCUGGAAAACGACAAAUACAAAUCAUGGAUAACACAAGGAAUAAAUCCACCUGAAAGGUCUGCGAAAAGGAUUUGCACCUUUUCACGAGGGGGACUUUGCCCCACUGUCAUCUCACACCCAGACCUUCCCCUUUCCACCGCCAUCAGCAGCAUCUCGACCCCCGCAGCAGCCCGUGCCCAGGCCACGAUGCUGGGUGGCCGGGAGGUUCUUGUACACGGCCCGGCUGUAUGGAAUGAAACACAGGCCCAGCUGGAGGUGUCGGGCCAGACGACAGUAUGCAGCCAGUGCCAGGACUA